rnacentral:rRNA from 1 species
GAUGAACGCUGGCGGCGUGCUUAACACAUGCAAGUCGAACGAAGCACUUUAUUUGAUUUCCUUCGGGACUGAUUAUUUUGUGACUGAGUGGCGGACGGGUGAGUAACGCGUGGGUAACCUGCCUUGUACAGGGGGAUAACAGUUGGAAACGGCUGCUAAUACCGCAUAAGCGCACAGCAUCGCAUGAUGCAGUGUGAAAAACUCCGGUGGUAUAAGAUGGACCCGCGUUGGAUUAGCUAGUUGGUGAGGUAACGGCCCACCAAGGCGACGAUCCAUAGCCGACCUGAGAGGGUGACCGGCCACAUUGGGACUGAGACACGGCCCAAACUCCUACGGGAGGCAGCAGUGGGGAAUAUAGCACAAUGGGCGAAAGCCUGAUGCAGCGACGCCGCGUGAGCGAAGAAGUAUUUCGGUAUGUAAAGCUCUAUCAGCAGGGAAGAUAAUGACGGUACCUGACUAAGAAGCACCGGCUAAAUACGUG